rnacentral:misc_RNA from 1 species
GGGAAGUUGGUGUUAACUGCGCGAAUGAUGAAGCAGGGUCUGCAUCAAAUCAGAAGCAAUUAUUUCUUUGGGUGGAUGACUACAAAUGCUCUAUUUGUGGUAUUGAACUGCCUCCUAGUUUCAUUGAAGAAAGGCAAGAACAUUCUGAUUUUCAUCUUGCUGAAAAGUUGCAAGGUGAAGAAUCAGGUAACCACCACAGAAGUUUUAUGCCACAACAGAGGGCUGCUCAGAGAGGCCAUACUGGAAGCAGCAGUCGGCAGAAAAAGAAACAGAAACCCUCUCCAACUGCUAGCAAAUAUGUACCAAUUGAUGCAUUCUUUGUUAAAACGAACCAGAAUUUUUGAAAGGCAUAACAUAGUGAAACUCUAUUUAUUGAGAAGAUAAUAAUAAAAUUUUCUUUUUCCAUGUACAACACAACAUAUCCAGUGUGGGG